ACGGGAGGCAGCAGUGAGGAAUAUUGGUCAAUGGGCGAGAGCCUGAACCAGCCAUGUCGCGUGGAGGAAUAAGGAUCUAUGGUUCGUAAACUCCUUUUGCGGGAGGAUAAAGUGCGGGACGCGUCCCGCUUUGCAGGUACCCCGCGAUUAAGCAUCGGCUAACUCCGUGCCAGCAGCCGCGGUAAUACGGAGGUUGCGGGCGUUAUCCGGAUUUAUUGGGUUUAAAGGGUGCGUAGGCGGCCCCUUAAGUCGGCUGUGAAAUUUCCGGGCUCAACCCGGGCACUGCCGUUGAAACUGGGGGGCUUGAGUGCGUUUGGGGUGGGUGGAAUGUGCGGUGUAGCGGUGAAAUGCAUAGAUAUCGCACAGAACGCCGGUGGCGAAGGCAGGUCACCAAGCCGCAACUGACGCUGGGGCACGAAAGCGCGGGGAUCGAACAGGAUUAGAUACCCUGGUA
rnacentral:rRNA from 1 species